rnacentral:rRNA from 1 species
GACGUGCGCAGGCGGUUAUGUAAGACAGAUGUGAAAUACCCCGGGCCUCAACCUGGGAACUGCAUUAGUGACUGCAUAGCUGGAGUACGGCAGAGGGGGAUGGAAUUCCGCGUGUAGCAGUGAAAUGCGUAGAUAUGCGGAGGAACACCGAUGGCGAAGGCAAUCCCCUGGGCCUGUACUGACGCUCAUGCACGAAAGCGUGGGGAGCAAACAGGAUUAGAUACCCGUGU